UGCUGUAAGCGGGAAGUAGUC
rnacentral:siRNA from 1 species